UUGCCCGUGUCUCUUUCACCAAGAAUCCUUUUGUUUACAUUUGAUAACGUGCACUACCAGAUAGAAAAGUUUACAUCCAAGUUUACUUUAAAUAGCAUCAGGUAAGGACUAAAUAUAUGUGAUAAAGAGAACUGAUCAAGAUAAAAAUGUUUUUAAACUAUAAUCAUUUUUAAAAUUUCUGAAUCUAUAGAAAGUGAGAAAAAAAAUUCGUUUCAUGUCUGUUCUCUGAACAUUCAGCAAUUUACGAAUUGCUUAAUUUGCAUUAUAUAUCGUCCAUUAAACCCAUGUUCCAUGGUAACUCAUUGGAAGAAUUGGGUCUUUUUUUAAAGGUAUAGUUUUAUGAAUAUCGAUAGUUGAGAGUUUUAAAAAGUUGAAAAGUACUGAGUGACUGAGGCACUGCUCGACUCUGUGGAGCCUCAGCUGUUUGAUUCGUUGUAUUAUUUGUGUAUCAGAUUCCUUUCUACGGUCGUUUUAACUGCUGUAAAUAAGAUGAAUCAAAGUUGUAAUUAUUUACUAAUAGAGAAGUAGAUAAGUUUACCAGAGUUGGAUUUUAUAAGAACAUUUUAAUUCAUUAUUUUAAAUUAUCUGUUUUUAUUUUAAUUAAUCUACAUAUUGUACACAACAGUCUAAGAAACCAGGACUAGAAAGUGCAAAGUAUUUUUAAGUAGAGAGUAUGAGCUUCCCAGAGCUGCGCCUGAUCGUGUAAAUAAGAAAGUUCCAAGUGAUAACAGGGGACGGACUGUAGUCUGAAAUGGUCCGCCUCCUCCCACCCCACUCCUCUCUUUUUGAUGCAAAAAGCAGUAGCCACCAGCAAGCCAAAGUUUCAGGAACUUUAUCAAAAACAAAACAAACAAACAAAAAAAAGUCAAAAUAAAAAAUAUCAAAAAAUGAAAGUGUGUGUGUGUGUGUGUGUGUGUGUGUGUGUGUGUGUGUGUGUUCUCUGCCCUCAUUUGUCUUUGAUUCUAAAAUUUAAGUAUUCUUCAAUUAAUUUUAUUAUGGGAAGAGAUUUCUCUGUAUGUACCACAUAACAAAUUCAUUUCCUUUUGUAAACUAAAAAUCAGUCCCUGUUUGCCUAGAAUGUUGUUAUUUGAAGUAUCUCAUCUUGUCAAAAUCUUUAUGUGUUUGAUUAUGACAACACCCGCUCACAUUUCGGCCGUACCACUUCUAAAAGUCGGUUACAGAUUUUACAUAACCCGUUCCUGAUUCGAGGUCUUCAUAGGAAAACACUGCUACGUGUACACCUGCAUAUCGUUGGAAGUACGCUGCAGUUCCACCCAGAACGGUUCCUGAAGUGGUCACUUAGAACUUCUGGUGGGUUCUUCUGACUUCUGAUGUUAGUUCAGGCAGACACUUGUGGCUGUGAGACAGGUCUGAAAGAGGGCUUGUGUUUAGAACGUGGGUGGUGCUGGGAGAUAGGUGAGGGACAGAGGGGUUUGCUCCAGGUUUUACCCUAAGUCCUGUAUUUGAAUCGUGUGCUUUUGCUCAAGGCAUUUCGCAUGUGACAUUAGUAAAGCUAUCUCCAAAGGUUUUUUUUGUUUGUUUGUUUUUGUAUCUGUUUUUCUUUUUUGUGGCAAGGAUUUAUCUUAACUUGGGAGAUUUUGUUCGUUUAUAUGUUUCUGCGAAAUAAAGAGCUCUGAACUUUAAACCUGAA
rnacentral:lncRNA from 1 species